rnacentral:rRNA from 1 species
AUUGAACGCUGGCGGCGUGCCUAACACAUGCAAGUCGAGCGGCAGCGCGGGAGCAAUCCUGGCGGCGAGCGGCGGACGGGUGAGUAAUGCUUGGGAAUCUGCCUGUUAGUGGGGGACAACCCGGGGAAACUCGGGCUAAUACCGCAUACGCACUACGGUGGAAAGCCGGGGACCGCAAGGCCUGGCGCUAACAGAUGAGCCCAAGUCGGAUUAGCUAGUUGGUAGGGUAACGGCCACCAAGGCGACGGUCCGUAACUGGUCUGAGAGGACGACCAGUCACACCGGAACUGAGACACGGUCCGGACUCCUACGGGAGGCAGCAGUGGGGAAUA